rnacentral:rRNA from 1 species
CCAAUAGCGUAUAUUAGUGUUGUUGCGGUUAAAAAGCUCGUAGUUGAAUUUCGGGAUUGGGAUAUAUCGGUCGUGCCUUUAGGGGCAUGAAUCGGUGUGUGGCCAAUUCUCACCUUCUGGUGAAUUGGGAUGCUCUCGGGUGUUUCAAUGAACUAGGACUUUUACUUUGAAAAAAUUAGAGUGUUUAAAGCGGGCAUUUUUGCUUGAAUACGUUAGCAUGGAAUAAUAAAAUAGGACGAUGGUUCUAUUUUGUUGGUUUUAGGACCACGUAAUGAUUAAUAGGGAUAGUUGGGGGCAUUAGUAUUCAAUUGUCAGAGGUGAAAUUCUUGGAUUUAUUGAGGACUAACUAUUGCGAAAGCAUUUGCCAAGGAUGUUUUCAUUAAUCAAGAACGAAAGUUAGGGGAUCAAAGACGAUUUAUGUACGUCGUAGUCUUAACCAUAAACUAUGCCGACUAGGAAUCAGACAAAGUUAAUUUUUUAACGACUUGUUUGGUACCUUACG